UACGGAGGAUCCGAGCGUUAUCCGGAUUUAUUGGGUUUAAAGGGUGCGCAGGCGGGAGAUUAAGUCGGCGGUGAAAAGCUGCCGCUUAACGGUAGUCUUGCCAUUGAUACUGAGAGUCUUGAGUUUGGAUGAGGUAGGCGGAAUGUGCAGUGUAGCGGUGAAAUGCAUAGAGAUUGCACAGAACACCGAUUGCGAAGGCAGCUUACUAAUCCACGACUGACGCUGAGGCACGAAAGCGUGGGGAUCAAACAGGA
rnacentral:rRNA from 1 species